GGAAGCAACACACUUAAAUGCCCAAGAUAAGCUCGGGUGAGCUGAUGUCUGGACCCAAACCAGACAGCACGCCGACUCUCUGGACCCCGGGAGAUGCCACUUGCUAAGGCUUCGCCGAUGGGGAUCCUGAGGGGUAUCGGCCCCUCUCCUGCGACUGCACCCCAGUGCGGUCGUCCAGAGCGGGGAGGGACGGGGUCACUUGGAGGCGGCCGCAGGCCGGGGAUCUACCCUCCUCCGCGCCGCAGCCCGCGGGGUACUCGGACCCCCGCCCCCACCGCCCUUCCUUCAAACUGCGAGCUAGCAAGAGAACGAGGGACGAGCCCCAGAAGAAAGUUCUCCACCUCCCUCGCCCGAAGUUCCAUAUUCCCGGGAGGCAACUGAUGCCAGGCGAAGAGGGAGGCGCCCCGGGGGGAACCCCUCGCGCCGGGCGUUUUCGGAGGCCGCAGGCCAGGGGGCGAGGAGCGGUGUCCUGGUCUCCGCGCGGGCAGUCGGCGAUCCUGGGGUGCCGAGGGAGCAGCGCCGCCUUCCCCUGACAGCGUCCUCCCCGACCUGAGGCGCCCACCCCGGUCCACUUCUUCAGUACCUAGAAGAGCUCCCUGAACACAGGAAGCAUUCAAUAAGCUACUGUUGAAUACAUGUACAGAUGGAUGGGAGCUCAUUCCACCCUUCGAAGAAGCAUGGACAGGUAUCUGCUCUCCAAAGGCGGAGAGAUGGAAGAGGAGGCAAGAGCACCCUAAAAUGGACUAUCAAUCUUACCUGAGGUUUUCGGACAAGCUUAUCAUGAAUCUGACUUUUUCUUUCUUUCUUUCUUAUAAUUUUUUUUUUUUUUGAAACGAAGUCUCACUCUGUCGCCCAGGCUGGAGUGCAAUGGCGCGAUCUAGGCUCACUGCAACCUCCGCCUCCCAGGUUCAAGUGAUUCUCCUGCUUCAGCCUCCUGAGUAGCUGGGAUUACAGGUGCCCGCCACCACCCCUGGCUAAUUUUUGUAUUUUUAGUAGAGAUGGGGUUUCACCAUGUUGGUCAGGCUGGUCUAGAACUCCUGACCUCGUCAUCCUCCAGCCUCAGCCUCCCAAAGUGCUGGGAUUACAGGCGUGAGCUGCCGCGCCCGGCCACAUGGCCUUUCAAUGUGAUCAUAUCUCUUGUACUUUUCCACAUUGAGUUUUCCUAGCUAGUCCCUUGAAUAAACUUCCAAAGAUGCAAAUGCUCGGUUUCCCUGAUAGGUUUUUAAAACGUCACCAGAAAGUCACAUUGAGAUGGGAUUUUAAGUUAUAUUUGUGGGUAGUCAGAGCAAUAACCCCGAAAGAAACAGAAAGCCCAAGCCAGCCUGCAAGACAU